rnacentral:rRNA from 1 species
GUACGCUUCUUUUUCCACCGGAGCUUGCUCCACCGGAAAAAGAGGAGUGGCGAACGGGUGAGUAACACGUGGGUAACCUGCCCAUCAGAAGGGGAUAACACUUGGAAACAGGUGCUAAUACCGUAUAACAAUCGAAACCGCAUGGUUUUGAUUUGAAAGGCGCUUUCGGGUGUCGCUGAUGGAUGGACCCGCGGUGCAUUAGCUAGUUGGUGAGGUAACGGCUCACCAAGGCCACGAUGCAUAGCCGACCUGAGAGGGUGAUCGGCCACAUUGGGACUGAGACACGGCCCAAACUCCUACGGGAGGCAGCAGUAGGGAAUCUUCGGCAAUGGACGAAAGUCUGACCGAGCAACGCCGCGUGAGUGAAGAAGGUUUUCGGAUCGUAAAACUCUGUUGUUAGAGAAGAACAAGGAUGAGAGUAACUGUUCAUCCCUUGACGGUAUCUAACCAGAAAGCCACGGCUAACUACGUGCCAGCAGCCGCGGUAAUACGUAGGUGGCAAGCGUUGUCCGGAUUUAUUGGGCGUAAAGCGAGCGCAGGCGGUUUCUUAAGUCUGAUGUGAAAGCCCCCGGCUCAACCGGGGAGGGUCAUUGGAAACUGGGAGACUUGAGUGCAGAAGAGGAGAGUGGAAUUCCAUGUGUAGCGGUGAAAUGCGUAGAUAUAUGGAGGAACACCAGUGGCGAAGGCGGCUCUCUGGUCUGUAACUGACGCUGAGGCUCGAAAGCGUGGGGAGCAAACAGGAUUAGAUACCCUGGUAGUCCACGCCGUAAACGAUGAGUGCUAAGUGUUGGAGGGUUUCCGCCCUUCAGUGCUGCAGCUAACGCAUUAAGCACUCCGCCUGGGGAGUACGACCGCAAGGUUGAAACUCAAAGGAAUUGACGGGGGCCCGCACAAGCGGUGGAGCAUGUGGUUUAAUUCGAAG